UCAAAAACAUGUCUUUUUGAUAAUAAUUUAAAGUCUAAUCUGCCCACUGAUAUAUUAUAUUAAAGGGCUGCAGUAUAUUGACUGUACAAAGGUAGCAUAAUCAUUAGUCUUUUAAUUGAAGACUUGUAUGAAAGAUUUGAUGAAAUAUAAACUGUCUCUAAUUUAUAUAUAGAAAUUAAUUUUUUAGUUAAAAAGCUAAAAUAAAGUUAAAAGACGAGAAGACCCUAUAGAGUUUUAUAUUUUACUUGUUUAAUGUUAAAUAUAUAAUUAAAUUAUAUAAAAAAAUUAAAAUAUUGUGUUGGGGUGAUAGAAAAAUUUAAUAAACUUUUUUUUUGUGGUUAAACAUAAAUAAGUGAUUAAUUGAUCCAUUUUUAGUGAUUAAAAGAAAAAAUUACCUUAGGGAUAACAGCGUAAUAUUUUUUUUUAGUACAAAUAAAAAAAAAAGUUUGCGACCUCGAUGUUGGAUUAAGAUAAAAUUUAAAUGCAAAAGUUUAAAAUUUUGAUCUGUUCGAUCAUUAAAAUCUUACAUGAUCUGAGCU
rnacentral:rRNA from 1 species